GUGGGGAAUAUUGGACAAUGGGCGAAAGCCUGAUCCAGCCAUGCCGCGUGUGUGAAGAAGGUCUUCGGAUUGUAAAGCACUUUAAGUUGGGAGGAAGGGCAGUAAGUUAAUACCUUGCUGUUUUGACGUUACCGACAGAAUAAGCACCGGCUAACUUCGUGCCAGCAGCCGCGGUAAUACGAAGGCUGCAAGCGUUAAUCGGAAUUACUGGGCGUAAAGCGAGCGUAGGUGGUUUUGUAAGUUGGAGGUGAAAUCCCCGGGCUCAACCUGGGAACUGCCACCAAAACUGCAUGACUAGAGUACGGUAGAGGGUAGUGGAAUUUCCUGUGUAGCGGUGAAAUGCGUAGAUAUAGGAAGGAACACCAGUGGCGAAGGCGACUACCUGGAAUGAUACUGACACUGAGGUGCGAAAACGUGGGGAGCAAACAGGAUUAGAAACCCUGGUAGUCC
rnacentral:rRNA from 1 species